GUGAUAAAUAGAUCACUGCGAGCUAAUGGUGCGUCUUUGCUGGAAUCUUGUACAGUGAGCAGCUUCCAGCUUGGGAACUGUGUCAGGAUAUCAGGUUUUGAUCUGCAGCACCUUGGUCUGUUAAUAGUUAGCUCCAGCCAUCUAUGAAGUGGCAAGUCAGGGACUUGAGCAGCCCCCCAGCUGAGAGCCCGGGUAAUCACCUGCAUUUAUCUUUCCCAGAAACGCAAACACGCCUCCCACCCCGCCUCUCUUAGCAAUGCAGGGUAUAGGACUGCACUGUAUUGGCACCCGAACAGAUCCCAGCAUUUCCUUACCAGUGUUUCUGAAUGGGGAUUCCCCCUGGGAAUUUGGGGAAUCCUGCAUGCAUGAAUGUCCCUGGUCAUUUGUGCCAACCUAAGUGCCUUCGCCCAUUUCCAGAUGUCUUCUUGAGAAGGGUUCCCUGCUCUGAGCCAAAACCACCAAUCCAGACCUGUCAUUUUACAGAAUUGCAGCUCGGCCCUGGACAAAGCGAAAGGGCUCAGCCACCAAGAAGUCGGCGAUGCUUUUAUUGGGGCGAGUGAGUUGACAAAUGGCCUGGCUACCUGUGAAGUCACUUUAUUUAUCAGCUGGAGCGGUUUCAGAUGGCAGCCGUUCCAUCUCUGCUCCACACCUGCAGCUUACGGACUCUGCAGUGAAUCCACGGCUGUCAACACUUCUGCUACUUUAUAGGAGGAAGAUGAGGGCAGUGGACCACUUCUGGGGGGUGGUCCCUGACCACAUCAAGCCUGUCCACCACCAGCUUGGGUCUUGGGGCUGCCUGUUGUGCAGGCCGGGGCAGCACAGGGUCAGGGUCCCUCUCUGCUGGCAUUGGGCACUACCAUCUGCAGCGUGGGGAAGGCUGAGCUUUCUUGCUGGCCCCUUGCCGGCCAUCUCUUAAAGGGCCCUUGAGAACAGAGGCCGCAUGCUCUUGUCUGGAGGGUUUUCGGAUGACUGUGGCCUGGGCCCAGGCACUGUUAGGUGUUCAAUGAUUUCAGAGCUGUCACAGGUGAGUCGGGCAGACUGAAGCCCCCUGGCCGGUGCUGAUAAACAACCAAGCUGGGAGCGCUGCCCAAGGAGGUGGACUCCUGCAGCGGUGGGCAAAGUGGCUCUCAGGAGCCGGGAGCUGGGCUGGCCAGGGGCCUGUCAGCGCUGCGGACUUUUCCUGUGCCCAUGGGCUGUGCAUGAGCAGGGGCAGCAAACCACAUGCAGUGUGAGGGCGCAGCCCAGCCCUGAGAACCCCACCCAGAGGACGCUAGGGCCAGCAGAGGAGCCGGGACACAAGACAUCCAAACUAGCUACCAUGCAAGUGGUGACAGACUAAAGAAAACAACAAAUGACCCGAUACUUGUUCCUAACAAAGAAAAGUCAAUAAAGGCACAAAACAUGUUAGCUGGCCUAAGGUACGGUGCCCACCAAUGCACAAUUUUUUUAUUUGUGCUUUUUAUAAAUGAUCCUUAAGCCAAGCGUGAUGACCCACACUUGUUUUUCGUUUUUUUUUUUUUAGAUUUCUUUUUUCUUUUUUUUUUUUUUAAUUUAAGGAGAAAAGAAAAAAAAACAGUGAAGGGGUACAAGUUAUACAGAUUUACAGAAGAAAAAAAUGCGCAGUAGGAAAUCACUAGUUAAUGGAUUACAUAUGGCCAUCUUAGAAAUAAUUGUUCAAGUCACAAAAUUAAAGCUUGUAGAGUGGACAUUCCAACAAUGAUACUGCAAACAGUUCUGUUCAAUGAUCCAAUAAAACUCUGUGAUAUCAUUUUCUAUCUUAUACACUUAAAUAUACAUGCAGUUAUAUAGUUUAGAGCACUUUCUUUUCCUCUCUUUUGUACAAAGACUAUUACACAUUUUGGGUUUCAUUGCUCCCACGGUUCUUAUUGCUUUUUUGGAAGAGAGUAAAACCAAAUGUGACAUAACAGAACAGAAUCGGUCAAGUCAAAAGGGUGGACAUAAUAGAUAAUAUAAAAACAUAAUACAAGGUGAUCAACAAUGGUUACCAUAAUGCCUCCCGCUAUUUCUAAUAGAAUUGCCUAUAUCAUUAGUUGUAAUACAAUUGAACAAAACAGUAAAGAACAAAACCGACAAAACCAAAACAUUGGAGACAUUGUAGGUCUUCAAAAGUAGAUAAAAGUCAACGAGAAUGGGCGUUAUAAUGAAUCUCAUUAUCUUCUCAGCUGAUGCCUAAACUUUCGAACCUGAUACUAUCCAGCAAAACAGAAUAGAGGAACCUCAGUCAAAAACAAGAUGGUGAGAGUAAUACAGGGCUUCAAAUUGAGAUAAUAGAAAGGAUGACCCACACUUGUAAUUUCAACUACUUGGGAAGCUGAGGCAGGAGGAUUGUAAAUUCAAGGCCAGCUUAGGCAACUUAGCAAGACCCUGUCUCAAAGUAAAAUCUUGAAGAGGCUGAUGGUGUAGCUUGGUGGUAGAGCACUCACCUAGCAUGUGCAAAGUCCUGGGUCCAAUCCCUAGAGGCAUAGUAAGAAUAAUCCUUGGGGGUUCCAAAAAGUACGUGUAGACUAGAUGUAUAAUUCAUUGAUACCGAACUUGUCUAUCAAGUAGGGGUCUGGUUUUGAUAUGCAGUACUGGCAAAAAAUAUCCUUCUAUGCUGCUGUUCAUGGCAACAUUGACCACACUGUCCAGAAGUAAAAACAACCUAUGUGUCCAUCAGCAGAGGAAUGGACUGGCCAAAUGUUGUCCAAAUGUUGUACACAUACAACAUGUACAGACAUGUACAUGACAGAUGUAUUACUCUGUCAUGAUGCUAAACUACUGAUAUGCUACUACAUGAAUUAGCGUUGAAAACAUGCUAAAUGAAGUAAGCCAGAUGCAAAAGACUGACAGGGCACAAUUCCACUCGUAUGAAGUAUCUAGGACAGUGAAAUCCAGGAAAAAAGAGUUUACUAGUAGCUGAGGUGUGGCAGUGGAGACUUAUUGACUAACUGGGUACAGUCUCUUUUGGGGCUGAUAGAAAAGUUUGAAAAUAGUGGUGUUAAUGUACACACAAUGUGAAUGUAGUUAAUGUAGUUAAUGUAGUUAAUGUAGUUAAUGCCUUUGAGUUGCACAUUUAAUGUGAUUAGCAUGAAAAAUUUGUAUUUUUAACCUGAUAGAAAAAAAUUUUUGUCUUUUUCAGACAGGAUCUCAUUACGCAGUUCAGGCUGAUCUUCAGCUCACAUUGUAGCCCAAGCCGGUCUCAACCUUGCUAUGUAUGAUUCUCCUGUACCAGCCUCCCAGAGUGCUGGGAUUACAGGCAUGUGCCACCAUGACCUGACUGGAAAAUUCAUUUUUUUAAAAUUAGAUUUUAUUGGUAUGUUUUAAAUAUAAAUAGUAAUCACAUUCAUCGUGGAGAAUUUGUACCUAUACAUGACAUAACUUGAUUUAUUUCCCUAUUCCCCUACCCUCCUGUCAACCCCCCCUCCUCUGAAAAAUUCUAACAGAGCAAAAAAUAAGUUAUCUGAACUGAAGAGAAUAAAAUGCUGGUUGCUAUGG